AAAGUCAUGGUUAAGUGGGAAACGAUGUGGGAAGGCCCAGACAGCCAGGAUGUUGGCUUAGAAGCAGCCAUCAUUUAAAGAAAGCGUAAUAGCUCACUGGUCGAGUCGGCCUGCGCGGAAGAUGUAACGGGGCUAAACCAUGCACCGAAGCUGCGGCAGCGACGCUGAUGCGUUGUUGGGUAGGGGAGCGUUCUGUAAGCCUGUGAAGGUGUGUCGUGAGGCAUGCUGGAGGUAUCAGAAGUGCGAAUGCUGACAUAAGUAACGAUAAAGCGGGUGAAAAGCCCGCUCGCCGGAAGACCAAGGGUUCCUGUCCAACGUUAAUCGGGGCAGGGUGAGUCGACCCCUAAGGCGAGGCCGAAAGGCGUAGUCGAUGGGAAACGGGUUAAUAUUCCCGUACUUGGUGUUACUGCGAAGGGGGGACGGAGAAGGCUAUGUUGGCCGGGCGACGGUUGUCCCGGUUUAAGCGUGUAGGCUGGUUUUCCAGGCAAAUCCGGAAAAUCAAGGCUGAGGCGUGACGACGAGGCACUACGGUGCUGAAGCAACAAAUGCCCUGCUUCCAGGAAAAGCCUCUAAGCAUCAGGUAACAUCAAAUCGUACCCCAAACCGACACAGGUGGUCAGGUAGAGAAUACCAAGGCGCUUGAGAGAACUCGGGUGAAGGAACUAGGCAAAAUGGUGCCGUAACUUCGGGAGAAGGCACGCUGACACGUAGGUGAAGUGAUUUACUCAUGGAGCUGAAGUCAGUCGAAGAUACCAGCUGGCUGCAACUGUUUAUUAAAAACACAGCACUGUGCAAACACGAAAGUGGACGUAUACGGUGUGACGCCUGCCCGGUGCCGGAAGGUUAAUUGAUGGGGUCAGCGCAAGCGAAGCUCCUGAUCGAAGCCCCGGUAAACGGCGGCCGUAACUAUAACGGUCCUAAGGUAGCGAAAUUCCUUGUCGGGUAAGUUCCGACCUGCACGAAUGGCGUAAUGAUGGCCAGGCUGUCUCCACCCGAGACUCAGUGAAAUUGAACUCGCUGUGAAGAUGCAGUGUACCCGCGGCAAGACGGAAAGACCCCGUGAACCUUUACUAUAGCUUGACACUGAACAUUGAGCCUUGAUGUGUAGGAUAGGUGGGAGGCUUUGAAGUGUGGACGCCAGUCUGCAUGGAGCCGACCUUGAAAUACCACCCUUUAAUGUUUGAUGUUCUAACGUGGACCCGUUACCCGGGUUGCGGACAGUGUCUGGUGGGUAGUUUGACUGGGGCGGUCUCCUCCUAAAGAGUAACGGAGGAGCACGAAGGUUGGCUAAUCCUGGUCGGACAUCAGGAGGUUAGUGCAAUGGCAUAAGCCAGCUUGACUGCGAGCGUGACGGCGCGAGCAGGUGCGAAAGCAGGUCAUAGUGAUCCGGUGGUUCUGAAUGGAAGGGCCAUCGCUCAACGGAUAAAAGGUACUCCGGGGAUAACAGGCUGAUACCGCCCAAGAGUUCAUAUCGACGGCGGUGUUUGGCACCUCGAUGUCGGCUCAUCACAUCCUGGGGCUGAAGUAGGUCCCAAGGGUAUGGCUGUUCGCCAUUUAAAGUGGUACGCGAGCUGGGUUUAGAACGUCGUGAGACAGUUCGGUCCCUAUCUGCCGUGGGCGCUGGAGAACUGAGGGGGGCUGCUCCUAGUACGAGAGGACCGGAGUGGACGCAUCACUGGUGUUCGGGUUGUCAUGCCAAUGGCACUGCCCGGUAGCUAAAUGCGGAAGAGAUAAGUGCUGAAAGCAUCUAAGCACGAAACUUGCCCCGAGAUGAGUUCUCCCUGAGACUUUAAGUCUCCUGAAGGAACGUUGAAGACGACGACGUUGAUAGGCCGGGUGUGUAAGCGCAGCGAUGCGUUGAGCUAACCGGUACUAAUGAACCGUGAGGCUUAACCUUACAACGCCGAAG
rnacentral:rRNA from 1 species